CCGCGGCUGCUGGCACGGAGUUAGCCGGUGCUUCUUCUGUAGGUAACGUCAAGCCUCAUGGGUAUUAACCAUAAGGUUUUCCUCCCUACUGAAAGUGCUUUACAACCCGAAAGCCUUCUUCACACACGCGGCAUGGCUGGAUCAGGGUUGCCCCCAUUGUCCAAUAUUCCCCACUGCUGCCUCCCGUAGGAGUUCGGGCCGUGUCUCAGUCCCGAUGUGGCUGAUCAUCCUCUCAGACCAGCUACGGAUCGUCGCCUUGGUAGGCCUUUACCCCACCAACUAGCUAAUCCGACUUAGGCUCAUCCAAUAGCGCAAGGUCCGAAGAUCCCCUGCUUUCUCCCGUAGGACGUAUGCGGUAUUAAUCCGGGUUUCCCCGGGCUAUCCCCCACUACUGGGCAGAUUCCUAAGCAUUACUCACCCGUCCGCCGCUCGUCAGCGGGAAGCAAGCUUCCCCUGUUACCGCUCGACUUGCAUGUGUUAAGCCUGCCGCCAGCGUUCAAUCUGAGCCAUGAUCAAACUC
rnacentral:rRNA from 1 species